UACGAAGGGGGCUAGCGUUGCUCGGAAUCACUGGGCGUAAAGCGCACGUAGGCGGCUUUUUAAGUCAGAGGUGAAAUCCUGGAGCUCAACUCCAGAACUGCCUUUGAUACUGGAGAGCUUGAGUCCGGGAGAGGUGAGUGGAACUGCGAGUGUAGAGGUGAAAUUCGUAGAUAUUCGCAAGAACACCAGUGGCGAAGGCGGCACUCUGGGACGGUACUGACGCUGAGACGCGAAAGCGUGGGGAGCGAACAGG
rnacentral:rRNA from 1 species